rnacentral:lncRNA from 1 species
CAAAAAGUCACCAUCGGUCGAGCAUGGUGGUACGCGUCUGUAAUUCCAGCUACUCAUGAGACCCUGUUUGAACCUUAACCUUUCAUUAGUGAAACUUAAGCACAUAUUAAUUUGCUAAUUAUAAUGGCCCUAUAGCCAGAGGCACUACUAAGUCAAAAAAGAAGUCUCCAUUAGAGCUUGUUGUAUGAGAGCUUUUUCCUGGAAAGGGGUAGCCCUCUCCCCGUUCUUUCCAGAAGGACCCAAACCUGGUGACUCGAGUUUGCGCCAAAGCCAACACUUCUAAAACAAAACCAGAAACAAGGCGGAAAACAGCAGACUGGAUUGCGAAGUCAGCAGCUUAUGGCGCCACUUUGGCAUCGGCAGCUUUCGGCAUUCAGAACCUUGGCACUUGGAUUUGGUGGUAAGAACCAAGCCCGUUCAGACAUCCUGGCUCUGAUGGACCUGUUCUUUGGUUCUGGAAUUGCUUGCUCCCUGGACAAGGGGAAAAUGGAAAGGUUGCUUUUAAUGUGAAAGGGCCAAGCAGACAGCAAAUGCUUGUGGCUGUCCUUCCACAGAGGCUUCCGAAACUGCAGUAAAGAAGAUGCUGGGAUGCGGGAGGUCUGCACGUGCACAAACAGCACAUGUUGGGAUAUCAUAUUGCAGCGUUUUCCUCCCAGGAGAUGAAGAUCAGGGGUCAUUUCACAGAAGCCCAUAAUGACCCACCUAAGGAUCUGUUCUCAAUUUGGUAAGCAACUGGGGUGUGGGGUUGAAGAACCUUGAUUGAAGGUGAUCAGACCUGAGCUUUUAGAAAAAUCAAUGCAUACAUUAGAAGGUGAAGCCCUGAAUGUAAGCACUCUCUCUCUCUCUCCAUGCUACUAAAAUUGGAACGGCUUUAUUGCCUCUCUGCAUCCCCUUGACCUUUUCUCAAUACCAAUUGGGAAACCUACUGUUAUUUAACAUUUAAUACCGGGCAUUCUUUUUCCUUGAAGAUGUCUGGAUAGUAAGGCUGAGAUCUCAAACUUUUGUGUGUGUGCUACUGAAGACAUUUUAACUCUGUAAGUCGGAGUAGUACUUCCAUGACAGGUGAAAUGUAGAAUCCCACAGGCUAUUUCUUUGUCGAUCUUUUUUCCUUAGGUGGCUUUUCAACAGGUUGAAAUAAAAACGAUGUUGCAAUGAAGUCA